AUGAAUAAAGGGUUAAGUACCGGGAAGAACAGUGUCACCCAAAGACAAGGACAGCUGACUGGGGUACAAAAAGGAGGCUCCGUGACGCUCAGCUGUUCUUAUGAAACCAGCUACACUGCUGGUGUCUAUCUCUACUGGUACCGUCAGUAUCCGAACCGAGCCCCACAGUACAUCCUCCUGAGAGGAGCAAAAGGGAUCACGUUCAGUGACACCGCAGGUUUCGCCCAGCAGAGGUUUUCUUCCCAGGCUGAUGACAGCGCCACAGUUCUGAACAUCACAGCCCUGGAGCUGGCAGACACCGCGGUGUACCUUUGCGCCCUGCGUGCUGCGCUGGGCGACUCUGUCCAGUCCAACGAACCCGAAGUGUCUGGGCCGGUUGGAGUUUCUGUAACACUCAGCUGUUCUUACACCACCAGCAGUGCCUAUGCUUAUCUCUUCUGGUACCGUCAGUAUCCGAACCAAGCCCCGCAGUACAUUCUCUGGAAGGGAGCGAAAUCCGCCAGCGGUACCAGCGACACAGCAGAUUUCGCCCAGCAGAGGUUUUCGUCCCAGGCUACUGACAGCUCCACAGUUCUGAGCAUCACAGCCCUGGAGCUGGCGGACAGCGCGGUGUAUUACUGCGCCCUGCAGAGAGCACAGUGA